rnacentral:misc_RNA from 1 species
AUUGAGCCAAUUGUAAACACAUGGUAUGGCAAUGUUAAAUGUUGAAAUUUUAAAACAGCUCUUCUUAUGUUAACUAUAGCAGUUUCAUUUCACUGAACUAGCCUUGUGCCACAUGAUGUGGUGCUUUGGAAGCCAAGCUAAAGAAUUUUAAUGGUCCAUCUGACAUAAAUGGGUGUCAAUAUAUGAAGAUGUUGCUGACAGUUUUAAAUAGAUAUGUUAAUGUAAGGAUAUUUUGUGGUAAUACAACUAAAGAAGAACUCUGGGAGGUGCUUGGUGUGAGGUGUCUGCAUGUAAGGCUGUAUGGGUCUCACAAAGGGAAAGAUCUUCCUGAAUACAAUUAUAGACUGCCAGGCCUUGGCAAGAAGUCACCCAAGUCUUUUAGUCACGAAAACAUGAGCAUAGAUGUUAACGGUGAGGUAUUGUUUGGAAUUCACCCAGUCUCCCUCGCACUGCGAGCAAACAAACGGAAAUUUUAUAAACUCUUUAUGAAAGAAAACACUAAAUGUAAAGAAGAGGGGAAAAGGAUAAUAGAACAAGCUGAGAAACUCAAUGUUCCAGUUGUGACAGUGACGAAAAAUGAUUUAGACAAGCUGAGUGGAUCCAGGCCCAACCAGGGGAUAUGUAUGGAUGUGUCGGGGCUCCCGGUCUCUGUGGCGUCUACCUCUAUCUGCUGGACAGAAAUCAAGUCCAGGUGGAGAUACCCUGUGUGGCUGAUGCCGUACAAUGUACAGGACCCCAUGAACUUUGGAGCAAUUCUUCGAACGUCAUUCUUUCUAGGUGUAGAUCGGGUUCUUACCCCAGAGAAAAACAGGUAAGAAAUCCUUAAUGAUUUUAUUCAGUAAUAUAAUGACAUUGAUAACAAAUUUUGUUAUGCCCCUGAGCUUUAAGGGUAAUGUGUUUUUGGUCAAAGUGAGAUUUGGUGUGGGACAUUAGCACUGCUUGCCUUGGUUACAGCUGUCGCCUGAGUCCUGUGGUAAGCAAGGCCAGCUCGGGGUCCCUGGAGGUGAUGGAGGGACUGGCCAAACUGAGGGAGGAACGAGACAUUGUAGAGAUACUUCAGAACUGGAAGGAGGCGGGGGGACAAGUAGUAGGGGCGUCUACGGACCGCAGUGCCCGGACCCCAAUGACGCCUUUACAGGAUCUAGCGGUGAACGCACCAGUCUUUAUUGUCGUAGGUAACGAGGAGCGAGGGAUCAGUAGUGCUGUGAUGGGACAGUGCAGUAGAGCUGUGUUUGUUCCUGGAGCUGACACUGGAUUGGUCAAUUCAUCUGGAGCUGACACUGGAUUGGUCAAUUCAUCUGGUGCUGACACUGGAUUGGUCAAUUCAUCUGGUGCUGACACUGGAUUGGUCAAUUCAUCUGGUGAUGACACUGUAUUGGUUGAUUCACCCACUGCUGACACUGGAUUGGUUGAUUCACUCAACGUCUCGGUGGCUACUGGUAUCAUCAUUUACCAUGUCGUAUCAAACAAUGAAAGAAUAAAAUAGUGACCACCUCAUGGAAAGAUGAACACAUUAAAGUUGGAUUUAUUUGUUUG